UGGGGAAUCUUGCGCAAUGGGCGAAAGCCUGACGCAACCAUGCCGCGUGAAUGAUGAAGGUCUUAGGAUUGUAAAAUUCUUUCACCGGGGACGAUAAUGACGUACCCGAGAUAGUCCUGC
rnacentral:rRNA from 1 species